rnacentral:lncRNA from 1 species
GCCGCGGGAGUGGGAGGCAACGAGGUAGAGGGGGCUGGGACUUCAGGAGGAGAUAACACUGGAGUAGGAGGGGUGGGAGGAGGAUCCUUGAGGAUGGAAGGGGUGUCUGUGGGUAAGGGGACGGAGGCAAGGGAACCGGGGUUAACGGGCUGGACAAGAUUCAGGAGAGCGGAGAGUAGGGACGGGGAAUCCUUGGAAGAGGAGGAGGAGGGGAGUGGAUGAGAAGAAAUGGGGGGCAAUGGGAGUACAGGGGUAGGGAUCACAGGGUUUCCCAAGGGUACUGGGACUGGAGGGCCAACUGGGGGACAGGGGUCCCGGGAGUCGGGGUCGGUUGGUUGGAUGGGAACAGGGGCCGUAGGGCACAGGGCAGACGGAGAGGUUGAGGGGGCAGAGAUUACUAGGGACGGGGUACUCAGGGUGGAGGAGGGCUGAGAGGGGGAGGAGGAUGGAACUUCGACAGUCGGGGCGGGAGUAGUUGGGGCAGAACUCGGGGUGCAGACAGGCACUGAGGGAGGUAACGGAGGGCAAGGAGGUGGGGGAGCUCCAACGGACAUGACAGGAGGAUGGUUGGAGGAGGGGACCUGGUCACAGGAGGGCUGAUGCAUAGGAGUGGGUGGGAACGAGUGUUGUGGUAUUGGGAAAUAAUAGGCUCCAUCUACUCCAAGUACGGGACAUAGAGGGGUGGGGGCUGAAGACACACCCCUGGGGGGUGGAGUCUGUGCUGUGACGGGUGAAAUGGGGCGGGAAUUUACUGCCGCGCUCUGGGCGCCAUCAUAGGGUGGUGGCCGUGGAACAAUAGAAACAACAUCAUCAUUGUGAACACUCCUAUGGUAAACAUGUACGAUCUGCCCUUCAAACUCCAACUCUUCCUCGACCCAUCCUUCCCUUUUCAAACCUCUAGCUACACGAUACCAAGCCUCUGCAACCUUCGUGAGUCCGUUAUCCAACAAUAAACCUUCCUUGUCUAUGAGUACCUUCCUCCAAAACUCCGGUUGCAACCUCCCACUGGGUAACAUCUGAAAGCCACACACCUUAGCAACCUUUUUAAGUUUCAUCAUUGCAUCUUCCCCUGCUCUUUCUUUCACAAUGUCACAAGCCAACAAACCCUUAGCAGGUCUAGCAUGCUCCUGUCCCAUCUUGACUAAUCAAAGCGUGCCACUCGUUAAAGACAGAUGAAUAGAGAAGGUAUGAGGAAAGAAGGGAAAAAGAGUGUCUACAGUGCUCGACUGCCACGAGAACUUGAGCCCCGUGCGUCUUCCCCAAACGUAGACUAGUCACGGAGGUCCGCCCACCCGGGGUGGUGGCCGCGGACGGGAGCAAAUGAGCGUGGGUGACUAACACAGCUCUGGGUCACAGGCACAGGAGAGAUAAAGCACAAAAGAGAAGAUGAACGUGGCUGCACUAAUGAGAAGACAUUUGCAAAAAUCACAAACGUAUAAAUGAGCAUAAACUCCCGAAUCCAGAACUAACCACGCAACACACACACACACACCAAGGGUACCCACGCUGUAACAACAGUUAAACAAAAACCACAGAAUGACAGAAAGUAGAAUGGCCAUGUACAUGUUAAAAUCACCGGUGCCAAAUAAUUGAAGUAUAACAAUUCUCAGCCUUCACCCACCAGGCUGGUCCCAGUAUAUCACAGGUAUUAACGGGAGCACAGUAAUAACAGUAAUAAACAAACAAAAUCCCAGCCCCACCGGCUGUAAAAUCCC